GAAAGAGAUCUGCUGCUUUUACUAUCUGGCAGUUGGUAGGUUCUUAUCACUUUUAGUUUUUAAUUGAUGAUGUCUUGCUUUAUACUUGACAGAGACCAAGGAAGAAGAAAGGUUGUUUCUGGCAGAGAACAGCGAAUGGCAAGAAAGAGCAUGAGACUGGCACUGCAGAGCAGCACAGAAAGGUAUCCAGUCAACUCCGGGAGGGCAGGAAUGACAUCUUAUUUGACCCUAUCAAAAGGCACAAUGCUUGGGUACAGGCGGAGAGAUACCUCAAGAUAGGGGGCAUCACAUAAUUUGCUGUAUAAGUGGAUUACUUCUGAAAGUGAUUUAUGCUGAAAAAGCAGGUGUAAACUGUCCCAAUGAAACCAGGAUGCAUGUUUACUCUUCUUCAAGGCAGCCAGGGGGGAAACAAAGUUAGAAUGCUACUGGAGUCAAAUUUUAAAAAGGGAAAUGAGUAGUCCUGAAUUUUGGCAGACCAAGACUGAACCAGUAAAAUAUCUUUUAAAUUAUUUCAUUAUUAUGUAUAUAUAUUACCUUAUUAUAACCCAAAGUUAAACAUUAAAUAAUGACAUUUUGUCUCCUCAAAGUGACUCAACCUUCAAAAAGAAUGAAGCUUGCAUAUAUUUAUAUCUAUAUACUACAUAUACACAAUGAAUAUAUAUAAUAUGUAUAUAUUAUCUGCUUGUAUUUUUUCCUUAAGUCUACUGGUUUUAAACAAUGUAGGAACAUAAUUUUGAAAGAGAUUGAUUUCCUAAAAAGGACCAAUCACUGAAGGAGGGGUCAGAUUUCCAGACUAAAAUUAACCAAUAUUCAGCUUGUAACUGGCACAUAGUAGGUAUUCAAUAAAUAUUUGAUGAAUGCAUAAAUGAAUGAUGAA
rnacentral:lncRNA from 1 species